GAAGGAAAACUCAUUGCGCAUGCUCACUCCUCUCCCGUCAGCGAGGCGCCUUACACAAGCCGCCAUAGAGCCCGGAGGACCGGGCAGAGAGAGUGGCCCCACUCAUUGGCGAGGCAGCCAUUUUGGAUGGGGCCAAGGAGGGGGGCGGGGCGUUAUCCUGAAGCGGUGGCGAGUGGCCGGUUAAAUCAGAGCGGGGCCAGACUGGACGCGUGCAGCUCCCGGGAAGGCACAAUGGAGUUCUAAAGUCUGCACUCUAUCCUGGGAGACUCAGCAGGGGCUGAAAUCAAAUCUAGGGCAGAGGAAGAAACACCCCCCAAAUUACAAGAUUGAAAUAUCUGGACUAUUUUCUACAUUUGUCACCUACCAGGCACACAGGAAGCAUCUUGCAGCAGUGUGCAUGCCAGACAAAAAGAAUCCACAAGAAUCUUGUAUAGGAAAUGCAUACAAUAUUCAUCAGAUUAUGCAUACUUUCAACCCAGAGAAAUAGCUUCAGUUUAGAUGACAUAGUUGGGCCAACAGAAUUUACAGCAAGCAGUAUUUCCUCCCGAUGGUGACUGGAUCGUUGGGCUGAAGUGGUUCAGCGGCAUUAGAUACAUGCUAUUUCAAGCUGGGAAGAUGAAGAGAGAAGCCUUUGGAAAGCUGAAUGUGGCAUGAAAAGGAAGCACCCUCUCUGCUUAAAAGAAGAAAGUUUUUGACAUCUGAACAUCUAUAACAUAUAGCGCAGGUACCCUGGAAACUCAGCAAGCAGUUGGAACAGUAACUAGGUUGGAUUGCAAACGCAUCUACUUGGGGAGUUGUUCCCAGUAUAUCUGCUGCAUAUAUGUAGAGAGUGUGUGUGUGUGUGUGCGUGUGUGCGCAUGCGAGCAAUGCACACAUUAGCUACAUGAUACUACAUAUAUGCAGCAGAUACGCCAACUACUUGGUGAGUUUCCAGCAUAUGUAUGUAAGUCUAACUUACGAACACAUGGGGAAAAACAGCACAACAAACCUAGAUAAACAGGUCAAAGAGCAAAAUGAAAAUGAAGAACAUCUCGAAGACAUGGAAAAAACUGAAGUGCCAGUAGUCUGGGUCCAUAUUUUAAAGAAUAACAUUGUUAGCAAAGAAGCUGAAGAGAUGAUCUGAGGCCCAUGGUCAACCUUGGACAGAUAACACCACAGGUUAAAGAGAGACUUUUGUCCUCAAAGGACCUGAUCAAGGCAGUUAAUAAUAAACUUAAGUCUGAAUUUAUUUAUAUUUUGUAAAAUUGAACAGUGAGCCAGCAUCUUUUCCCAGGCAGAGCCCCGGCUUGCCAAGAUUCAGCACAGAAAGUACUUUUUAUAGUCUAGUUGGAGAUGCUGCAACUCACUAUAAUGGGCUCUGCACUUUUAUAACCAUCUCUUAAUUAAUGCGACAUCUUAGGCAAGUCAGCAUUUCCUUCUUUAAAUGAUGCUAUUCAACUUGUUCUCCCUCAAUCACUAUUUGGGUUUGCAGAAGUACUGCCAAGAUCUAACACGAACUUAAUAGUUGGAUGGGAUUUUUUUUUUAAAUCCUUCCAUAUUUUCUGAUGACACCAUGCUAAGCAAAUGGCCACACACUAAGCCAACCCCUUGCUGCCCUUACUCAAGCGAUACUACUGACCACAGCAUCUCCUCCAUUGGCUUUGGUGGAAUUCAUCACAGGACUUGGCCCAACGGAUUUAAACUCCCACAAUCACUACCAUAGUUUACCACCUCCCUACACCCACAGACUGAGUGAGACCUAUUCACUGCUGAGUAUAACAUCCCAUUUUAUAAUCUCCUGUGUAAGUGUGUGUCAUGCAUGCACACUUGGAGAGUUCAUUGCAAUUACCUGGUUCAAAUUCUGAUAUUUCUGCAGCUCUUGUGCCUUCCUUAGACAAAGAUGGGAAGAAGGAUUGAUGAAGACACGAGACUGGGAGAUCAGGGUUCUAUUCCUGCUUUGUACUUCCUCUGUGAUCUUAGUCAAGUCACUACCUCUGUGUACUGUAGUUUCCUACUGUGUAAAAUAUGGCUAAUACUAAUUCCCUUCCUCAUAUUGAGGAUUAAUUGUAUAUCAAGAAAUUUAAUAUAAUCAUAUAGAUGGCACCAUAUUAAUUCAAAAUCCUGUUGGUAAACCAGAUUCAGAGCUCACAUGUAAAUAGCUGCAAUGCUAUUUCAAAUAUAUCAAUAAUAUUGUAAUUUUACACUAAGGAGAACAUCUUUGCUUCACACAAACAUUCUUACGAUUGCAUCAUGUAUAUUUAUUAAGAGAAGCAAGUUGUACACGUAUUAGUAGGCGUAAUACGUUUAAGAAACACUCUUGAAUAGAUUUCAAUCCAAAAUUUAGGCUUAAUAAAUACCAGGUUUUUACAAAGUCUAAUAUCAAGAGAACACUUUAUUUUUUAUUUAUUAGCUUCAAUUAAAACAGUUUUUUAAUUUAAAUUCCCCCCCAGUGUUUUCAACCUGAAAAAUGCACCAUUGUGCUAGUACAUGAGAGCCAGAAAGUAACAUGGAUUAGAAACUGAUGAGAAUCAAAAGUUGAACUGGUCUAUAUUCAUUGUCCAAGAUCAGUGAAGUGCAAAAAGUAAUCAAUCAGCCUCAAUAGUGAAAAGAAAAUUAGAUUAUUAAAACUGAAAGAGUUUUAAAACCUAUCUAAGGGGUUCAGAUUUUUAACGAGAGAGUGCCCCUUCUAAUCUGAUUUAUUAGAGUAAGCUAUGGAUAUAGAUACUAAUGAAGAGGAGUUAUUCGCAUACAAAGAAACAAACCUUUGGAGUAACAUUUCUUGGUGUCCAAAAAUAAGGUGAAAAGUAAAUUAUGCUAUUUUCCCAGGUGCCAGUUAAUUAUGCCAAGCUGCAGUGUCAAAAACUGACACCAUCCUAUACGGACCGUUAUUGUUCACCCUCAUUUUCUCCUUUUUAACUCUUGUGUAUAAAUUACAAUCAAGACUCUCCUCCAUGCUUCCACUAAAGGGAACUGCUUUAGGGAGGAUGCAUGACUCGGACUAAAGCCUAGCGGAGAACAAUUGUCAUCUGUCAAACUGUAUGCUACAGUUCCUCAGUUUAUCCACUGACCCCAACACACGGCUGGCCUGCUAUUUAUCACUCCAAGCUGCAACACUAUAGAGAAACAAAGUUCAGACAAAGAGAGAAAAAUCAAAUGUUGCAUCAAUUUAAAGCCCCCUCCAACCUACUACAACCAUCCCUGGUUCCAAUAAGCCUAUUGCAAAUUAUGGUCCAAAUUCUCCUCAAGUUUACAAUGGUGUAACACUGGAGUAGCUCCACUGACACCAACGUAACUGAGAGCAGAAUAUGCCCCUCUCUGUUUAAAAGGUAUUUUACAUGUUAUCAUC